rnacentral:ncRNA from 1 species
GCAGUAGGCAAGCGACCCGAAAGAUGGUGAACUAUGCCUGAGCAGGAUGAAGCCAGAGGAAACUCUGGUGGAAGUCCGUAUCGGUUCUGACGUGCAAAUCGAUCGAUAGACUUGGGUAUAGGGGCGAAAGACUAAUCGAACCAUCUAGUAGCUGGUUCCUUCCGAAGUUUCCCUCAGGAUAGCUGGAACUCUUGCAGUUAUAUUCGGUAAAGCUAAUGAUUAGAGGCCUUGGGGACGUAAUGUCCUCAACCUAUUCUCAAACUUUCAAUGGAUAUGGCGUCGCAGUUUCUUUAGUGAACUGCGGCGUGAAUGCGAGUUCCAAGUGGGCCAUUUUUGGUAAGCAGAACUGGCGCUGUGGGAUGAACCAAACGUGGAGUUAAGGUGUCCUAACUUCUCGCUUAUGAGACCCCAUAAAAGGUGUUGGUUGAUAUUGACAGCAGGACGGUGGCCAUGGAAGUCGGUACCCGCUAAGGAGUGUGUAACAACUCACCUGCCGAAUCAACUAGCCCUGAAAAUGGAUGGCGCUUAAGCGAGAGACCUAUACUCCGCCGUCGCGGCAUGUGCGUUGUCUAGCGCCAGGUCGCGACGAGUAGGAAGGACGUGGCGGUUGCGUUGAAGGCUAUGAGCGUAGGCUCGGCUGGAGCUUCCGUCAGUGCAGAUCGUAAUGGUAGUAGCAAAUAUUCAAGUUCGAUCCUUGAAGACUGAAGUGGAGAAGGGUUCCACGUGAACAGUAGUUGGAUGUGGGUCAGUCGAUCCUAAGGUACUGGCGAAAGCCUUGUAUCAUCGGUGGCGAAAAGCUUGCUUUUUGUCCCCGCCCGUCGAAAGGGAAUAGGGUUAAUAUUCCCUAACUGAGAUGCAAAGAUUGUGUUCUUCGGAGCACAAGCGCGGUAACGCGUUCGAACUUGGUAAGUCGCUCAGAGACCGAGCUAGAGUUUUCUUCUCUAGUUAAGGAACGGACUCCCUGGAAUUGGUUCAGCCAGAGAUGGGGACGUUGUUUCCGAAAAGCACCGCGGUUUCUGUGGUGUCUCGUGCUCUCUGAACGGCCCUUUAAACACC